GACGAACGCUGGCGGCGUGCUUAACACAUGCAAGUCGAACGGAAAGGCCCUGCUUUUGUGGGGUGCUCGAGUGGCGAACGGGUGAGUAACACGUGAGUAACCUGCCCUUGACUUUGGGAUAACUUCAGGAAACUGGGGCUAAUACCGGAUAGGAGCUCCUGCUGCAUGGUGGGGGUUGGAAAGUUUCGGCGGUUGGGGAUGGACUCGCGGCUUAUCAGCUUGUUGGUGGGGUAGUGGCUUACCAAGGCUUUGACGGGUAGCCGGCCUGAGAGGGUGACCGGCCACAUUGGGACUGGGGUACGGCCCAGACUCCUACGGGAGGCAGCAGUGGGGAAUAUUGCACAAUGGGCGGAAGCCUGAUGCAGCAACGCCGCGUGCGGGAUGACGGCCUUCGGGUUGUAAACCGCUUUCGCCUGUGACGAAGCGUGAGUGACGGUAAUGGGUAAAGAAGCACCGGCUAACUACGUG
rnacentral:rRNA from 1 species